AAAUAUCUGGCAUGUGCGAGGUGUGUGGGGAUGACAAUAUGGUUUGCUGGUGAGGCUUUCUUUCUCGCUUCCCGUGUCUAGUAGCAUAGUUGGCCAAUUCCACGUGACUUCCUAAUGGGGGUAUGCUGUAUAUAUAGCUGGGUUCUUGCCGUGCGUUUUUAUCGUGUGGUGUAAUGUUUGGUUCUGGUCCAGGUAGAGGGUUUGGUGUCGUAGUGUUAACGUAUAGGCUGAGUAUAGUCUGUAAAAGUAUCCUUACAUGGGUCUGUGCACUGGUUGGAUGUGGCCUGACUUUCUGAUAAUAUUGUGUGGUAUCGUGAAGUAUAUGCAAUGGUUCGGGUGUUUAAAUAGCGUCGGUUUCUCAGUAGAGUUUUUGUUAUGUGGGGGUUGGUUCGGGAUAAUAGCGAAGCCUAUUUGUGUUGCCUUCCUUCCUGUCUCUUGUUGGUGGCAAUUCAGUCAAUCUGUCAGUUAUUUUCCCCUGGCAGGGAUGUGUCGUCGGGGUAGCGGUAUGUCGUGUGAUUGCGUGUUGUCAUUCUCAGUCUGGGUCUGCCGGCGUUACGUGUUGU